GUUUUUGGUUUAUCGUUUUUAUAAAAAAAACACAUUCAGCGUAUAAAUCAAUAAUGGGGUUUUAUACAAAGUUUGGUGCUCCAGGGAGAGAAAGAGAAAAACCAAGCCGCCACAAAGGCUUCUCGCUCUCUCUCCUCUUCCCCCCCAUUUUAAAGCACCAAAAGACAGAUAAAAGUUCACAUUGGGUUUUUUUGUUUUGGAUAUACAAAUUUUGUAAUGAUCCAACCGCAGGUUCACCUACGGUUA
rnacentral:misc_RNA from 1 species